GAUACCGAAACAAAGCAAAAAUUUCUCCAAGCUCUCUUUUCCUCCACAGGCCAUCAUUCAACGCCGGACAACCUCCAGUGGCAUCAUCUCAGCUUUGCGAAGCUACCUGCAGCGGUUUUGGGUCACGGCACAGUCGGAAACGGCGGCGAAGAGACCGGGUACGUCCAGCCCCGAUUUCUUUCCAAGUGUGAUAACUCGAGCUACAGAUCACGAAACCUCCUCAAACUUCGUCCACAGCUUCGCUUCAACCAUCUGAAACUCCCAGAAACACCCUUUCACGGCGGCGCUGUCUCUGGAGGCGGUUGGAGUUCAACCCCGACUUGAAUCGAAACGGAGCAAGGGAUCCAAAUAUCUCGAGUUACAGGACUUCGUUUUAGGUGUUUCUUGAACCAGUGAGUUCAUCUUGUGUUUCUUAACAACUCUUCAGAAGGAAUCGAAGCCCGAAAUUGAAGUUUUUACGUCGGAAUUCAAGCUCGCCGGAUUCUGGAAAUUUUCCGGCCACCGACGCUUUCGAUCAAGAUAUCUCGAGCUGUAGAGCUUCGUUUUGAGUGAUUCUUGAACCAGUGAGUUCGUCUUUAAGUUCUGAACAAGUCUCCUGAAGGAAUCGAAGCGAAAGGAGGACAUUUUUACGUUGAUCGGAGCUUCGCCAGUUUCUGCAAAUUCUCGCCGGUUUCUGGAAAAAUUCCGGCCACCUCGACUGUUUUAGGUGAUUGACGGUCUCCCUUGGGUGAGCGGUUUCGGUGUGUAUUGUGUUGAAUUGAAGACGCAGCGGGAAUAUCGAGCGGAUAAUCCUACAGGACUGGAGAAUUCAGGAAGGUGAUCGAACCGUGUAGAGUAGCUGCUUUGUAAUACUCUGAUUUUCAGUUGUGAGGUUUGUUAUGCUCAUUAGAGCUUUACAAUUUACUUUGUACGAGUGAGUUGUAAUAAUUAACUCGAGGUCUUCGAGUUUUGAAUUUGAGCGUGAGUGGCGAGGUUGUUUCUGAGAAAAAAAAAUUCAGAACGUUUAUUUGUUUAAGUUGUUUAAUUCA